rnacentral:tRNA from 1 species
GAUAGAAUGGCCGAGUAUAAGCGCUAAAUUGUAAAUUUAGAGACAAGAAAUUUCUUUUCUAUU